GCCAGUGUGGUGAAAUUGGUAGACACGCCGGAUUCAAAAUCCGGUUCCUGCAAGGGAGUGGCGGUUCGACUCCGCCCACUGGUA
rnacentral:tRNA from 1 species